AAAGCUCCCACUUCUCCAGGUGGAAGGCAAGGAAUCCCUUCAUGAAGUGCUUGACAAAUACAUUUUUUUUCUUUGACUUGACAGGCUUUGCUCCACAGUUCAGAAAAGCUGAAAGGCUGAAAGUCUGCUUCAGUAUUUGAAUUGUCCCCAGAAAAACUAUAUGAAACCAAGUGGAUUAGCAAGAGGCUGCCUGGCUGACCCCGGCUCUCAGAAGGGCUCUCAGGGUGACCUGCUACGACUAUUGGGAGGACAAAUCCUGGAAGUGGAAAUGCCAGGCGAAAUUACCUGCUCACUGAGGCUCCAAAGGAAUGACCAUGAGGCUCCAACUCUCACAGCCUCCUGCAAGCCAUCCUGCUUCAAGUCCUCACUGUGCUGAUGGCUGCCUGUGUGCGAGACAGGGACAGUCUCUUAACCUCACUGUGCCUCAGUUUCCUCAUGUGAAAGAUGGGGAUAAAAAUAGUGCUUGACUCAAGGGUUGGUACCUCAGUCAUGAACCUUAAGAUGUGUGAGGAAAACGUAUUACUUUUUCUCUCCUACGGCAUCUAGUUUUAGACCUCUCAUUUUGUAUGAAAUCAGAUCUUAAAGAUCUAGAGUCUACUUUCCUCCGAGCGCCAUGCUCUUCAGGUUGCUGAAUUCUUCAGGAAUCCAGGUAGGCCUAGUAUGCUCUCCACCUCUCGAUAAAAAAUUACAAAGAGCAACCUGCUCAGUGCUUUUGUUCCAAAUUAGAAACCUUAAGUCCGGAAUCAGUUUUUCAGCAGAAACACAGGCUAUAGGUUGCAGAUGGUCCUUUACUCAUUGCAGUGUGAAAGUACUUCAUAAUAUUAGUAUGAAAUGUGACCAC